rnacentral:rRNA from 1 species
GACGAACUGUCCUAACGUUGUUCGGAAUCACUGGGCUUAAAGGGCGCGUAGGCGGUCGAUCAAGUCAGGGGUGAAAUCCUGCAGCUUAACUGGAGAAGUGCCCCGGAUACUGGUGGCCUCGAGGAGGGUAGGGGCAUCUGGAACUAGCGGUGGAGCGGUGAAAUGCGUUGAUAUCGCUAGGAACUCCGGUGGCGAAGGCGAGGUGCUGGACCCUUUCUGACGCUGAGGCGCGGAAAGCCAGGGGAGGCGAACGGG